UGGUUGAUUUUGCAGAUUUUGGUGUGGGAGUAUCCAUGUUACUGAACUCGAAAUUAUGUUGCUUGUGAGUGCUAGCUUGUACGCGUGGGCUAGGCUUGAUCUCAGAAUUUGGCCUUGGUGGGGUAAGUUGGAAAUUCUUCAUGGCUGAAGUUUCAGGAGUAUUAGCCCCAGGCAGUUGACGUUCUAACCAGUUCCACCACCAGGGGAAUCCUCCUGAUCUGAUAUCCGCAAGAGAUGUCUGAGCUGAUUUUGGAGUGGAUUUCCACAACUGUUGGCCCAAAAACAAAAAAGAGCAGAAAAGAAACAAUGAUAAAAACAGAUGUUAAACACUGCAUAGGGAUAACCUGCCAAGAUGUAAGACCUAGGUUUAAAAAUAAUUCCUUUGUGUGUUUAUGGCUUGUGCCUAGAGAAUAUGUGCCGAUGCACAUGCAUCAAGUGAUAUCAAUUAUGAGAAUAAGCGUAUGGAUUUAAACAGCUAGUUAUGAGACUCAAACUGAUUGAUUUUGGACAUUAAGAAAUAAAAUUAUGCAAUGUUACAGAUUCCAUGGACAAUGAAUUGAUUGAUGUAAUCAUAAUGUGAAACAGUGUUGGAUUGACAUUUGGGAUAAGAACGUUUAUGAGACUCUAAACCUUAGACAUAAUUAUUAUGAAACAGUGAACAAUCAUUGUGAGAAUGCAGUAAUAUAUAGUAUUGGAGACUUGAAAAAGGUAAGUUGAAAUGUUUAAGACAAAGAUGAAGGUCAGGCCCAUAUAAUCGGGAACAUUUUCCGUCCCAGAUUAACCAAAUGUAAAGGAAACCGGCUCUCUAAGGAGAAUCUUGAUGCAGAAGCUGGCUCAUCAAAA
rnacentral:lncRNA from 1 species